UACGGAGGGUGCUAGCGUUGUUCGGAAUCACUGGGCGUAAAGGGCGUGUAGGCGGUCUGUUAAGUCUGAUGUGAAAUCCCCUCGCUCAACCUGGGAACUGCAUCCGAAACUGCCUUGCUCGAGUAUGGGAGAGGGAAGUGGAAUUUCCGGUGUAGCGGUGAAAUGCGUAGAUAUCGGAAGGAACAUCAGUGGCGAAGGCGACUUCCUGGACCAAUACUGACGCUCAGGUGCGAAAGCGUGGGGAGCAAACAGG
rnacentral:rRNA from 1 species